AGCGUACACGGUGGAUGCCCUGGCAGUCAGAGGCGAUGAAGGACGUGCUAAUCUGCGAUAAGCGUCGGUAAGGUGAUAUGAACCGUUAUAACCGGCGAUUUCCGAAUGGGGAAACCCAGUGUGAUUCGUCACACUAUCAUUAACUGAAUCCAUAGGUUAAUGAGGCGAACCGGGGGAACUGAAACAUCUAAGUACCCCGAGGAAAAGAAAUCAACCGAGAUUCCCCCAGUAGCGGCGAGCGAACGGGGAGCAGCCCAGAGCCUGAAUCAGUGUGUGUGUUAGUGGAAGCGUCUGGAAAGGCGCGCGAUACAGGGUGACAGCCCCGUACACAAAAAUGCACAUGCUGUGAGCUCGAUGAGUAGGGCGGGACACGUGGUAUCCUGUCUGAAUAUGGGGGGACCAUCCUCCAAGGCUAAAUACUCCUGACUGACCGAUAGUGAACCAGUACCGUGAGGGAAAGGCGAAAAGAACCCCGGCGAGGGGAGUGAAAAAGAACCUGAAACCGUGUACGUACAAGCAGUGGGAGCCUCUUUUAUGGGGUGACUGCGUACCUUUUGUAUAAUGGGUCAGCGACUUAUAUUCUGUAGCAAGGUUAACCGAAUAGGGGAGCCGAAGGGAAACCGAGUCUUAACUGGGCGUUAAGUUGCAGGGUAUAGACCCGAAACCCGGUGAUCUAGCCAUGGGCAGGUUGAAGGUUGGGUAACACUAACUGGAGGACCGAACCGACUAAUGUUGAAAAAUUAGCGGAUGACUUGUGGCUGGGGGUGAAAGGCCAAUCAAACCGGGAGAUAGCUGGUUCUCCCCGAAAGCUAUUUAGGUAGCGCCUCGUGAAUUCAUCUCCGGGGGUAGAGCACUGUUUCGGCAAGGGGGUCAUCCCGACUUACCAACCCGAUGCAAACUGCGAAUACCGGAGAAUGUUAUCACGGGAGACACACGGCGGGUGCUAACGUCCGUCGUGAAGAGGGAAACAACCCAGACCGCCAGCUAAGGUCCCAAAGUCAUGGUUAAGUGGGAAACGAUGUGGGAAGGCCCAGACAGCCAGGAUGUUGGCUUAGAAGCAGCCAUCAUUUAAAGAAAGCGUAAUAGCUCACUGGUCGAGUCGGCCUGCGCGGAAGAUGUAACGGGGCUAAACCAUGCACCGAAGCUGCGGCAGCGACGCUGAUGCGUUGUUGGGUAGGGGAGCGUUCUGUAAGCCUGUGAAGGUGUGCUGUGAGGCAUGCUGGAGGUAUCAGAAGUGCGAAUGCUGACAUAAGUAACGAUAAAGCGGGUGAAAAGCCCGCUCGCCGGAAGACCAAGGGUUCCUGUCCAACGUUAAUCGGGGCAGGGUGAGUCGACCCCUAAGGCGAGGCCGAAAGGCGUAGUCGAUGGGAAACAGGUUAAUAUUCCUGUACUUGGUGUUACUGCGAAGGGGGGACGGAGAAGGCUAUGUUGGCCGGGCGACGGUUGUCCCGGUUUAAGCGUGUAGGCUGGUUUUCCAGGCAAAUCCGGAAAAUCAAGGCUGAGGCGUGAUGACGAGGCACUACGGUGCUGAAGCAACAAAUGCCCUGCUUCCAGGAAAAGCCUCUAAGCAUCAGGUAACAUCAAAUCGUACCCCAAACCGACACAGGUGGUCAGGUAGAGAAUACCAAGGCGCUUGAGAGAACUCGGGUGAAGGAACUAGGCAAAAUGGUGCCGUAACUUCGGGAGAAGGCACGCUGAUAUGUAGGUGAAGUCCCUCGCGGAUGGAGCUGAAAUCAGUCGAAGAUACCAGCUGGCUGCAACUGUUUAUUAAAAACACAGCACUGUGCAAACACGAAAGUGGACGUAUACGGUGUGACGCCUGCCCGGUGCCGGAAGGUUAAUUGAUGGGGUCAGCGCAAGCGAAGCUCUUGAUCGAAGCCCCGGUAAACGGCGGCCGUAACUAUAACGGUCCUAAGGUAGCGAAAUUCCUUGUCGGGUAAGUUCCGACCUGCACGAAUGGCGUAAUGAUGGCCAGGCUGUCUCCACCCGAGACUCAGUGAAAUUGAACUCGCUGUGAAGAUGCAGUGUACCCGCGGCAAGACGGAAAGACCCCGUGAACCUUUACUAUAGCUUGACACUGAACAUUGAGCCUUGAUGUGUAGGAUAGGUGGGAGGCUUUGAAGUGUGGACGCCAGUCUGCAUGGAGCCGACCUUGAAAUACCACCCUUUAAUGUUUGAUGUUCUAACGUUGACCCGUAAUCCGGGUUGCGGACAGUGUCUGGUGGGUAGUUUGACUGGGGCGGUCUCCUCCUAAAGAGUAACGGAGGAGCACGAAGGUUGGCUAAUCCUGGUCGGACAUCAGGAGGUUAGUGCAAUGGCAUAAGCCAGCUUGACUGCGAGCGUGACGGCGCGAGCAGGUGCGAAAGCAGGUCAUAGUGAUCCGGUGGUUCUGAAUGGAAGGGCCAUCGCUCAACGGAUAAAAGGUACUCCGGGGAUAACAGGCUGAUACCGCCCAAGAGUUCAUAUCGACGGCGGUGUUUGGCACCUCGAUGUCGGCUCAUCACAUCCUGGGGCUGAAGUAGGUCCCAAGGGUAUGGCUGUUCGCCAUUUAAAGUGGUACGCGAGCUGGGUUUAGAACGUCGUGAGACAGUUCGGUCCCUAUCUGCCGUGGGCGCUGGAGAACUGAGGGGGGCUGCUCCUAGUACGAGAGGACCGGAGUGGACGCAUCACUGGUGUUCGGGUUGUCAUGCCAAUGGCACUGCCCGGUAGCUAAAUGCGGAAGAGAUAAGUGCUGAAAGCAUCUAAGCACGAAACUUGCCCCGAGAUGAGUUCUCCCUGACUCCUUGA
rnacentral:rRNA from 1 species